rnacentral:rRNA from 1 species
UACGUAGGGUGCGAGCGUUGUCCGGAUUUAUUGGGCGUAAAGAGCUCGUAGGCGGUUUGUCGCGUCUGCUGUGAAAACCCGAGGCUCAACCUCGGGCCUGCAGUGGGUACGGGCAGACUAGAGUGCGGUAGGGGGAGAUUGGAAUUCCUGGUGUAGCGGUGGAAUGCGCAGAUAUCAGGAGGAACACCAAUGGCGAAGGCGGCAGACUGGACAGUUAUUGACACUAAACUACGAAAGCGUGGGGAGCAAACAGG